rnacentral:rRNA from 1 species
ACGGUUACCUUGUUACGACUUCACCCCAGUUACCGGGCCUGCCUUCGACAGCUCCUCCCUUGCGGUUAGGCCACUGGCUUCGGGCAUUCCUGGCUCCCAUGGUGUGACGGGCGGUGUGUACAAGACCCGGGAACGUAUUCACCGCAGCAUUCUGAUCUGCGAUUACUAGCGAUUCCAGCUUCAUACAGCCGGGUUGCAGGCUGUAAUCCGAACUGGGACGCCUUUUUUGUGCUUUGCUCCCCCUCGCAGGUUCGCCUCACUCUGUUGGCGCCAUUGUAGCACGUGUGUAGCCCAGCCCAUAAGGGGCAUGAUGAUUUGACGUCGUCCCCGCCUUCCUCCGGGUUAUCCCCGGCAGUCCUUACAGAGUGCCCAGCCUUGCUGCUGGCUACUGUAAGCAGGGGUUGCGCUCGUUGCGGGACUUAACCCAACAUCUCACGACACGAGCUGACGACAACCAUGCACCACCUGUCUCUGCUGUCCCGUAAGAAAGCCCGCAUUACCGGGCUGCCAACAAGAUGUCAAGGGCUGGUA